UGUCCUAAAUGAAUCGCAUACAAACUCAUAUACAGGUCCUAGACUAAUUGUAAAAUUGACAUCGGUGCUACUAAAUUCUGUAUUUUUAUAAUUCUGAUUUAUCUUUCUAUUAAACCCGCCAAAAGCGGAAAAAUACAGGAUUUAAUAGCACGGAUGUCAAUUUUACAAUGCAUUUUACUACAGUUACUUGCUAGGCCGCCAUUACUCUGGCAAGAACAUGCGUGGGCGCCGGCAGCGUCAAAAACAUCAAAGGAGUGAGCCAUCUAUUCAUUCCUUAAUCUAUGGCUAAAGGGUCAAAAAACACAUAUAUAGCCUCGUCUAGAUGUUAAAAUAAUGCAGAUACCGCUGGUCCGUAACAUAGACGUAUUCAAUUACGAUAACAGCUAUUCAAGAGGUAAGUUGCACUUGAAACUGUGCUUUUAUACACCAAUU